rnacentral:rRNA from 1 species
GACGAACGCUGGCGGCGCGCCUAACACAUGCAAGUCGAACGGAGUUAUUUGAAAGCUUGCUUUUGGAUAACUGAGUGGCGGACGGGUGAGUAACGCGUGAGUAACCUGCCUUAAAGAGGGGGAUAACGUCUGGAAACGGACGCUAAUACCGCAUGACAUACGGACAUGGCAUCAUGAUCGUAUCAAAGGAGCAAUCCGCUUUAAGAUGGACUCGCGUCCAAUUAGCUAGUUGGUGAGGUAACGGCCCACCAAGGCGACGAUCAGUAGCCGGACUGAGAGGGUGACCGGCCACAUUGGGACUGAGACACGGCCCAA